rnacentral:misc_RNA from 1 species
AAGAAAUUGUAGAAGUUAAUAAUAAAACUGCAAUCUCUGAUUGAUACAGGAAUAUUGAAGCAUUGCAUUGAAACAAAGGCAGAGCUCACUGAGUUUUAUUUACAUUGGAACACUGGUUUUGAAAAUUUAUAUUUAUAACAACAGACAAGACAUGCAAAACAUUCCAUGCCUAAUUAAGAGACAAUUCACUCUCCAGGGUUAUACGUUUAGGAAAUUAGAUUCCAAAUAAAUAUGAGAGGCUCUUUCCAUUUCUAGACAGCUCAACCGCUUCGCAUACUAGCUUAAGGUCCAUCUUCUUGUGCUGAAUUAAGGCCAAAGAGAAAAGUUUCAUUUGAAUUAGCAAGGACACCACGCAGUAAGAGCACAAAUGCAGUCGCACAGAAACAAAGAUGGAGGGAGACUUACUACUCAAUAUAAAGCCCUGAAGCAAGCUCUGAGCUCUCUCUACUUGCUCUGGAGUACCUGAUAUUUGAAUGAUCUUUUCCGUCACUUCUGGUCUAUCUUCUAGGAGGGUUACAUUGGCUCCAGAUAACUGUCCCAUAAAAGUAGUCAUGCAGAAAUUAUUGGAGGCAAGAUCCGAAAAUUAGUCGCUAAAUGACAGCAAGUGUAGGCUCACCUCACUUAUUUGAGAAAGCUUGUUUUUUGAUUUUGUUACAAGCUUGGGAACUGCAUGGUCUGGUAUGACAAUUUCAAGUGUACUCCUAGUGACAAGUGGUUUGGGGAUUCUAACAGAAAAUGAAGAUAUAUGUUACAAAGUUGAGAAAAUAAUGCCUUCUUAUGAUGCAUGGAACAAUAGCAGCAAUACUAUAAUAAAUAAUGUGUUGCUCAAUUCAUUUAAAUAAAGCUGAAUCAGGUACCUAUUUAUUGCUGUGGGAACCUCUUCACGGCGCUCACUGUCAUUCUGCUUCACUUUUUCAGUGCCAGAUCCUCCAGCAUCCUUUGAUUGUUGUGCCACUGCUACAGCAGACUGCACAUUCUGAUAGGUUGCAGCAGGGGGUUCACCUCCACUAUGACCGUCACGAGCUGGGGUUAAGUUCUUUGGAGAAGCAGACUCCAUUCUCAGUGCAGAAGACGGUGGCGUAUCCUUCUGAAAGAACUCCUUGUACAAGUAACUCCUUAGCCUUGACGUAACUUCAACAAGAGCAUCUCGUGCUGCUUUUAUUUCCCCUUCAAUCUGUACCAGCUCAUCAGCCCCUGAUACACAAGCAGGAAGUUUUUCCUUUGGCAGGAUCUGUAUUUUUGCACCAGUUAAUCUCUCCAUCUCAGAUAAUGAUCCAUCUCUUCCCUCAAAACAUUCAAUUUCACUGGCAGAGACAAGUAACUUAGUUUUUAUUAUAUUGUCUUUAUCUGGAACAAGAUCAACAAUACGAGUUUGAAUAUGCAACAACGCCUCUUGAGCUGGAAAUAGCUCAUCAUCAGGACCCUCCUCAGAUGAAAUGAUAAUAAUUUGCUCAUCUGACCCAGAUACAGGAUCAGAAACCUUUACAUCUACACCGAUUUCAUUUUGAAGCAAAUCUACAAUGCCAUCUGUCUCUCCAACAACUUUAUUAAUCUUGUCAGUGGGGCAAAGCAUUCUAAACACAAGGUCCUCACCGUAAAAGGUCUGUGCACUGUCAUUCAUGGUAACCCCACCAUCAACUGUAUAACCGGAUUGUCGGGAGGAAUAGUUACUGCUUCUGUAAUUUGUAGCAGAUGCUCGUGAUCCAAAUGAAGGCCCAUCGACAGAUGAACGACGUGCUGUGUUAUUCAUGUGAUGAAUAUAAUCAUCAUCAGGGAAAAAUCGAUCUGGUGAGUGUAGUCUCCCAUGGAAAUUUCCCUGACUUCGAUCACGAUGCUGACUCUCCCUCAAGCGAGAUGAAAUAAUUGCUAUAGCAUUUUUCACUGCAUUCACAUCACCUACAACCUGCUUGGGAAACAAAAUGCACAAGGCUCACUCAUUAUGAUCAUUUUCAACUGACAUCAUUCUCUAUAGGUUUCUAUUUGCUAGAACAAAAAAUAGUCUCCAAGAGGUAAUAAAGGCAAGCAAAUAAAAACUCCUAUACUUCUAAAGCCCUACAUUGUCUAAGUAAUAAAAAAAGAGUAACAUUAUAGACAUCAUACCAUGCAAUUAAUAGCAAAAUCAAUUGGAUCAAGAUAGUAAACCAAUAUCCAAUUCAUGCAGUCAAGAAUCUAAUUUCCCUAUCAUAAUAAUUCACAGGAAUAUCAAUGCCCGAAUUACCUGUAUUAGCCUUUCCAUGACAUGGCUAAAGCAGGAACUUCAAUUUAAGCCAAGCUCAAAUGUAUCUUAAAUUACAGAUGUGUGUAGAGCAAACAUUUUGGAAUGAAUUUCUAAACAAACUUCACAAUGAGUUGUAUCAAACCACGAUCCCCGGUGAAACGCAUCAAUGGAACUUAUCAAUCAGGGACUCCUAAGGUUUGGAUAUUAUGUUUUUACAUCAAUGAGUAAUUAGAAAGAAGAUAUGUGCCCAAGCAGCCUCAAAAGGCAUAUAUAUAAGUUAAAAUCACCAACAAACAGCAAUGAUGCAGACAAGGAAAUGUAUUAUUCAAAUUAUGGACAGUGAAUCAAGCAACCUUUCAUGGCAAGUUAAGUAACAAGUGGUUCUCCAAUGAAGGAAUUAAAAAAAUGUAUUAGAAAACAGCACCAGCCACCAUUCUUAUGCCCACAUCAAAUCUAUGACUGCUCGUAUUAGAGUAGUUGCCCUUUAAAUAGGUCAAAUUUCAAGUAUCCAGAAAUAAAGAAGUUAUAAAUUCUUCAAACCAGUGAUUCAUUUGGGUUUCAAGUCAUCAUCUGUUCAUGUAUUGUAUAAAGUUUGUUCAACUGCCAAGCAUUGUAAAUGACUAACUCACUGCAUUUAAAGAUGAAGACAUUAAAGUGAGGCAGUAACCCGGUAACCCCCUUGAAAUAGUCCGUUUCACCAAAGCUCACAAGUGAAGUCAUAAAUUUUUAGUGAAAAGUCCGGGUAGCAGCAAUAGCCAAUAGUAAUAGUAAAGUUGGUCAAGAAAACCUGAACAAUCUCCUCAGACAUGGAAACGCAGCGGGGCAAGGUAUGAUCUCUAGGCAAAAUCCUAAUCUGGGUCUUUGUCUCAAUCCUCAUUUGCUCAAUUAUCUUCCCUCCUUUACCCAACAAACAACCGACAUGCAUUCUCGACACUACCAACCUUGUAGCCACUCUGUUUCCUCUACCCCCAUAAUCAUCCUCUUCAUUCCCAUAACCGCCGCCGUUCAUAGCAAACUGAGCAUCACUUUCAAGAAUCCUAUCAUGUAUCAAGAACAACGCCUCCUGAGCCGGCGAGAAAGCCGGUAUCCGACCCUCCGGGUCCCGCCGCCGAGUAUCGGAUAUCUCGAUGAUUCGCUCGUCAUCUCCGGGGAUCAGCUCGUGCACGUUGAUCCACGCACCAGUGUGUUGUCUAAUGGACUUGAUUAUACUGCCAGACUUGCCGAUUACACCACCGGCUUUUAUAUCGUGACAGAGAAUGCGGUAGGUGGUAGUUACCAUCAAGGACGGGUCCUGUUGCUGCUUGGAUGGGCGGUUGUUGUUGAUGGUGGUGCUGCCGCCACGAUGACGUUGGGUAUUGGGGUUGUACUGGUGAUUGUUGUACCUGGGUUUGGUCCUGCCCAUGGUGGUUUCGCUAUCAUAGUCCUGAUGAUCGUAGUAGUAGUUCCUCUUAGAUCUAGAUCUCUCCAUCUCAAAUCAGCAAAAGCAAAGGUUUCAACGAGAUUACAGGUCUUUGAUUUUCUUUGUAUCUUCUUGUCAGUCUCAAAAAUGUCCAAAGAUUCACGGUCCCAAAGUCAGAAACUGUAAGGGGCUUUCUCUGUUUGUUUCUUGGGAAAGUAGACAAAGAACGAGAGAGAAAAUUCUUGAGUCUGAGAGCAGAAACCCUAAUGAGGGAAGAGAAGAAGAAUCAGAAGCUGAUAACGAAGAAGAAGAAG